rnacentral:rRNA from 1 species
ACAGAGGGUGCGAGCGUUAAUCGGAAUUACUGGGCGUAAAGCGCACGUAGGUGGCGACGUAUGUCGGUUGUGAAAGCCCCGGGCUCAACCUGGGAAUUGCAUCCGAAACUGCGUUGCUGGAGUACGGAAGAGGAAGGCGGAAUUCCCGGUGUAGCGGUGAAAUGCGUAGAUAUCGGGAGGAACAUCAGUGGCGAAGGCGGCCUUCUAUCUCGAUUCUGACGCUGAGGCGCGAAAGCUAGGGGAGCAAACGGGA